rnacentral:rRNA from 1 species
CUACACAUGCAGUCGAGCGGUAGCACAGAGAGCUUGCUCUCGGGUGACGAGCGGCGGACGGGUGAGUAAUGUCUGGGAAACUGCCUGAUGGAGGGGGAUAACUACUGGAAACGGUAGCUAAUACCGCAUAACGUCGCAAGACCAAAGUGGGGGACCUUCGGGCCUCAUGCCAUCAGAUGUGCCCAGAUGGGAUUAGCUAGUAGGUGGGGUAACGGCUCACCUAGGCGACGAUCCCUAGCUGGUCUGAGAGGAUGACCAGCCACACUGGAACUGAGACACGGUCCAGACUCCUACGGGAGGCAGCAGUGGGGAAUAUUGCACAAUGGGCGCAAGCCUGAUGCAGCCAUGCCGCGUGUGUGAAGAAGGCCUUCGGGUUGUAAAGCACUUUCAGCGGGGAGGAAGGCGGUAAGGUUAAUAACCUUGUCGAUUGACGUUACCCGCAGAAGAAGCACCGGCUAACUCCGUGCCAGCAGCCGCGGUAAUACGGAGGGUGCAAGCGUUAAUCGGAAUUACUGGGCGUAAAGCGCACGCAGGCGGUCUGUCAAGUCGGAUGUGAAAUCCCCGGGCUCAACCUGGGAACUGCAUUCGAAACUGGCAGGCUAGAGUCUUGUAGAGGGGGGUAGAAUUCCAGGUGUAGCGGUGAAAUGCGUAGAGAUCUGGAGGAAUACCGGUGGCGAAGGCGGCCCCCUGGACAAAGACUGACGCUCAGGUGCGAAAGCGUGGGGAGCAAACAGGAUUAGAUACCCUGGUAGUCCACGCCGUAAACGAUGUCGAUUUGGAGGUUGUGCCCUUGAGGCGUGGCUUCCGGAGCUAACGCGUUAAAUCGACCGCCUGGGGAGUACGGCCGCAAGGUUAAAACUCAAAUGAAUUGACGGGGGCCCGCACAAGCGGUGGAGCAUGUGGUUUAAUUCGAUGCAACGCGAAGAACCUUACCUGGUCUUGACAUCCACAGAACUUAGCAGAGAUGCUUUGGUGCCUUCGGGAACUGUGAGACAGGUGCUGCAUGGCUGUCGUCAGCUCGUGUUGUGAAAUGUUGGGUUAAGUCCCGCAACGAGCGCAACCCUUAUCCUUUGUUGCCAGCGGUUCGGCCGGGAACUCAAAGGAGACUGCCAGUGAUAAACUGGAGGAAGGUGGGGAUGACGUCAAGUCAUCAUGGCCCUUACGACCAGGGCUACACACGUGCUACAAUGGCAUAUACAAAGAGAAGCGACCUCGCGAGAGCAAGCGGACCUCAUAAAGUAUGUCGUAGUCCGGAUUGGAGUCUGCAACUCGACUCCAUGAAGUCGGAAUCGCUAGUAAUCGUAGAUCAGAAUGCUACGGUGAAUACGUUCCCGGGCCUUGUACACACCGCCCGUCACACCAUGGGAGUGGGUUGCAAAAGAAGUAGGUAGCUUAACCUUCGGGAGGGCGCUACCACUU